UACGUAGGGCGCAAGCGUUGUCCGGAAUUAUUGGGCGUAAAGAGCGCGUAGGCGGAUGUUUAAGUGUGGCCUCAAAGCCCCCGGCUCAACCGGGGAUCUGGGUUGCAAACUGGGCAUCUUGAGGGGGAUAGAGGAGAGUGGAAUUCCUGGUGUAGCGGUGAAAUGCGUAGAUAUCAGGAGGAACACCCGUGGCGAAGGCGGCUCUCUGGGUCCGCCCUGACGCUGAGGCGCGAAAGCGUGGGGAGCGAACGGG
rnacentral:rRNA from 1 species